CAGGGCAAGAAUCUGGAGAUCAGGAAGAACUGCAGGUUCACCAACCAGCAGUACUACUACUAGUAUACUAGACCAAGGCCUUGCUUCAACGACGACAUGCGCGUGGAGCCAAUAAUCCAAUAUCUAGCUGCAUCAGUUACAAUUCUAUUGGUGUUUUACUUUUACCCUUCCCUUCAAUUCAUUCUAACGGUUUACUACUUACAGCUAGUGUGUACGCGUUGUCUUCCACAAUAUAUGAACUAUUUUAUAGGUCAUCUGAUGUAUUUUCGUUAAAGAAAGAAACAAUGCUCUGAAAUAUAUGGUCAUGUGACUACAUUGUCCAAGUUUUGCUACCACAAUGUGUAACUUGCCGGAGACCGAGGGGGCAUGCUAGCUACUAACUCCAUUCUAAAUUAUAAUUUAACUUUUCUAGAUACAUAAUACACUAUAUCUAGAUAUAUAGUAAAAACUAUAUAUAUGUAAAAACUAAAACUAUUCGUAAUUUGGGACGGAGGAAGUAGCACCCAACAUGGCAACCAGCCAUCUAUCACGGUGUGGUGAUGUUUUCAGUUUCAUGCUGAACUCUUUGUAAUAAGUGAACAGUACGAUACUUCAGAAGAAGCAAGAUCAGAAGUUUAUUUCCACUUUUUAAAAAAGAGAAAAAUGGACAGCUUGGCUCCUUUUCUUCAGUGUUGGACAUUGGACGUUAGCUAAGCAUUAAAAGAACGAUCGCAUUACUUCAGACGAGUUCUCUUAAUUUGUUUUUGCCACGAUCAUGUGAAUCUUCUGCAAAUUAUCAUUGUCUGCUGCAUGAUUGUCUCGUGCAUUAACAUAGGAUUCGAUUGGAAUCAUAUCCGUUUACAUCUUAUUUUCCUGCUAUUCCUGAACUAUUUCUACUGUUAGACGAGGAUUAAGGUACAACUCAAUCGGUGUGAUGUUCAUUGUAACCAAACAAAGUAGUGUUCUGUAUAAUAGAACAAAUGUUCCAUACAUCCAAAUCGAAUUAAUGUUCCAAGUGACCACACCUACCUUACGCCCUCCACGGUGUGCGUGAUGCCGGUAAAAAAGUUUGGCCCCCAUGGUGAAAACGGGCAUCGCUUCCUGGAGAGCCGCAGCGUGCCAAAUUACAAGCACCGGAGCCAUCUAAAAAGUUCUGAAUAUUUAUAUGAAUAGAAUAGUACUUCAGCUUUGGCUUUGCUACUGGAGGCAGUUGGACUUGAACUAGGACCAGUGAUGCAUUUUUUUAUUAACUGAGUGCCGGAACAAGAACUUUUUACCGGCGUGCAACAGCGUGAGAAGUGGUGCCUAGAUUCUCUCUCUCUCUCCCCUAUUCUAGCAUCACACAACGCUCACCUUGUGGAGGGCCUUAGAUCCACAGUUGCUCCUUCAUCCUCUCAGGCAUGGUACGGAGGGCUACAAAACCUGACAAUAGGGACAAGAAAAGGAGGAAGGCAGGUGCAGUGGGAGACAGAAAAGGACUUGUUUGCACAACUUGGGCUUCGAGAUCCAUGCAAAAUUUAGAAUGCAGUGCAAACGUUAUCUGGGCUUCAAUUUUUCAUAGUGAGUCAGGUUAAGUGGAUGGGCUAGAUCCUUCUUCCUCUAAGGAAUGCAGUGCAGCAAAAGAGGAAGGUAAGGAGCCCAAACGCAACAGGCUCCAGGCCUCCCGGCGCGGUUUUGGGCUCAGAAAGAAGAAAAAAAGGAGGAAUGCGAGGAGCCCCACAGUCGAGCUGAGAGCGCGCGGGAAAGCGCCUGGCUGCCUUCAAUUCUGGCGCUCAUUUCCCGUUCCUGAAAGACCCCAAAUCUAGGGUUCCCUGAUCCCCUUCCCCGGCGUGCAACGGCAGCAAUCAAGCGGCCACCCGGCCAGCAAGUCUUCCCUCCCGCGUUGCCGCGCCCACCCGCAAGCUCGCGAGCAUGAGUGGCCGGCGCCGGCCGGCGGCUGGAGGAGGCGGGGGAGGGGGAGGCGGCGGCGGCGGGAACUGGCGGAGGAGCGGCUCGGCGGCGGCGAAGGAGCAGCGGCUGCGUCUCGGCGCGGAGGAGCUCCUCGAGAGCCGGCUGGGAUUCGCGCCCUACACCGACGGGGAGCGGCGCCUGGGGUGGCUUCUCACCUUCUCGCCAGUGAGUUCGAUCUCGAUUUCUCUGUCCCUCUUCGUUGCAGUUGUUCUGGGUCAAUUCUCAAAUGGGGUUCGGUUGGGGAAUUAGAGGUGGAGCUGCGUAAUGCAGUGAUCUGCAGUUGGAGUUGAAUUGGAAGUUCGUGAGAUAUGGGGUCAAAAUCAGUAGAAAUAAGCAGAUCAUCAAGAGAUUCGGAGCUUUUACUUUCUAUUUUGCAAAAUGCCUCCGCGAGUGAGCUACCGCGGGAAUGGGAAAUGGGUAAACAUAACUUGUACUGUUUGGUCAGUGAAUUCGCUGCUUAUAUAGCUCUACCAUUACAUUGGAUAAGACCUUACCACAAAUUGAGGGAAGAGCAAACGUGAAAUAAAUUUUUGGGGUGGUGGGGGGCUAAUUACUAAGCCACGGGCUCUCCUAGAUUCUCACUGGUAGGAGCGCUCAUUGGAUCUUGAAAUAGCUUAUUGUAUACAAGUGAUUCACUUAUAUACUCUCUUGAAAUAGUACCAAAUUUGUCCUUCUAUUGCUGUGCGUAGUGCAACUAGGGAAAUUACUGGAACUGUAUCUAACUUAAAUGAAGUGAUUCAACGUAGAUGGUUCACAAGAAAUUCAAAGGACCUAUAUGAAGAACUUUACUCUAAGGUCAACUGCCAUUAGCUAACUUAAAUUUUCUUAAUUUGAAUAGAAAAAUUGCAAGAUUGCCAUUUAAACUUACACCUAUAACACCUGCAGUCAUCAUGGGAAGAUGAGGACACUGGGAAAAUCUACAGCUGUGUUGACCUAUACUUUGUGUCACAGGUAAAUUUUUGCAGUUGCAAUACAAAACCUUUUUGAAUUCCCGCAUGUCUAACUUUGUAUGGUUUCUUGCAGGAUGGUUCUACUUUUAAAGUGAAAUACAAGUUUAGGCCUUAUUUUUAUGCUGGGACUAAGGUGAGCUAGAGAUUGAGCUUUUCUGAGGGCUAUUUGAAUACUCCUGGUCUCCUGCCAUGGAAUUCAGUCAUGGAGACUGAACCUUUUCUGAUGCAGUUUUUAUUUGCUGUUGCUCUAUUUUUCUUUAUCUGUUGCAGGACAAGAUGGAGUUGGAAGUCGAGGCUUAUAUCAGGCGACGUUACGAAGGAGAGAUUUCUGACAUAGAAAUAGUUGAGAAAGAGGAUUUAGAUCUGGUAUGUGCCUUGCUUUGCAUGCUUAAUCUGAUAUUCUGUUGAACCUCCACCAUGAAAUGCUAUCACGGUGAUGAUUUUUGCUAAUCAGCUCAAACUGGAUGCUUCAAAUGUUCAAUUAAAAUGUUAAAUGCACAAGCUAGUUUGUAAUAUAUUAAACUGAUAGGUUAUUGUAUAAAUUUGAGUAGGGAAUGUUCUCACGCUUUGUCUUUUAGUUCCAAUGUGUCUGGGCCUGAUGUACCAUAUAAUAUUUAACACCUCCAACCCUGUUGCAGAAAAAUCACCUUUCUGGCUUGAAGAGAAAAUACCUGAAGCUUCAGUUUGAUACUGUACAGCAGCUAAUGCGUGUAAGAAAUGACCUAUUGCAUGUUGUUGAAAAGAAUGAAGAAAAAUUAGAUGCUGUGGAGGCAUUUGAAACAAUUCAUGGUGUAAAAAGGUGCCUAUAAACUUUUCAUUGUCCAGCUUAUUCUGGUCUAAGACAUUUUAAUGAUUUCUAUGCAGAAUAGCUUAUAUAGUUCUUUUUCUUAGUUUUAUUUGGAAUAAAGUUUACUUUCUUGCCCAUUUUUGUGUUUAUUUGUGAACUUAUAGUCUGUUCCUCUUGUGCACUAUGACAGGGUAGAAAGGCCACAAGAUUACAUGAAUUACAUCAUUGAUUUACGUGAAUAUGAUGUUCCGUAUCAUGUUCGUUUUGCUAUAGAUAAUGGUGAGCACUAUACCUUCAAAUCCUUUAUUUUCUCACAUGCUGAUUUGUCACUGACGCUUUGGUACUCCAAAAUCAAAAUGUUCGCAGAUGUGAGAUGUGGACAAUGGUAUAAUGUUAGCGUAUCUGGUUCUGAUGUUUUACUUCAGAGAAGGGAAGACCUGCUUCAGCGUGCAGAAGUGCAUGUAUGUGCGUUUGAUAUUGAGACCACAAAGCUGCCACUGAAGUUUCCGGAUGCUGAAUACGACACUGUAAUGAUGAUUUCAUACAUGAUUGAUGGGCAAGGUUACCUGAUAAUUAACAGAGAGGUUUUGACUUACAAUUCUUUGCCCAACGCUUGUUAUCACCUUCUGGUUUAUUAUAUCCAUUUAUGGCUUACAAGAUCCUUCUCUCUAUUUCCUGGGCGUACUGCCUAGCCUUGGGCAGCAUUAAUCACCUUACACACCAUCCUGAUGUUCGUCCAUUGUCUCACUUCUUACAGAUUAACAUAUUUUUGUUUCUUUUGUUUCUAAAAAUAUAUAUGAUUUCUGUGUUAGAAAAUGCUUAAAGAACAGUUACCUUGUGUGCUGUUCACUGGAUACAUACUUCAUGAUCAGCAUCUGCAAAAAUGCAACAAGCCAAAUCUAUUACAGAUAGAACUUGUGCUCAUUAUGGCAUUGGCAGGUGUGGUAACAUGCAGGAAUCUAUGGGAAAAAUACACAGCCUAAGCAGAUUAUAGGCAUAUAUCUGACGAAAUCAUUGUUUUAGCUUAUUCACUUUUGUUGAUUGUAUUUGCAAAGAUGCAGAUGUUUCUCAAUCAAGUUUAUACAAUUCACUAUUUUUAUUUGCUCCUUGUAGUGCGUUGGGGAAGACAUUGAAGAUUUGGAGUACACACCUAAACCAGAAUUUGAGGGGCAUUUUAGAGUUAAGAAUGUUUCAACUGAGGUAUGGACAUCUUUCACUUAUUUUGUUCAGCAUAAUAUGAAUUGUAUGCAUCCUAGCUAUUUUGCUAACUCCCUUUAUUUUUGAUGUUUAUAGUUGGAUCUGCUUAAAGCAUGGUUUGCUCAUAUGCAAGAGGUUAAACCUGGCAUUUAUGUCACAUACAAUGGUGACUUUUUUGACUGGCCAUUUUUAGAGAAGAGGGCUGCUCACCAUGGGAUAAAAAUGAAUGAGGUGCGUUUUCUAUUGUGUUUUAAUUUAGGCUUGGUUUGGCAUUGAGUGGAUUAUUAUAAUCUUGUUUUGUGGAAUUGCUUUUAGAAUUUUUAGUGUUUUGUUAACUGCUUUUCUUCUAAGCUAAGUUACAACAAAAGAUUUUAUUGGACUAUCCUAAAAAUAAAUGUAGUGCACAGGUCCGCAGCUGCCUGACCCUUGGUAGCUAUGGCUUUUUGUUGGAAAAAGUUAUCCUUCUACACUCCCUUGAAGUAGCAUGUUUGCCUGCUUAUCCCAGUGAAUGAUUUGAUCUGCUUAACCUGGUUUUGAUGGAUUGAACGGUGGUCAGUGAAAUUGUCGCAUAGCUUCCGUGGCACCUCGUUUUGCCAUUUUGCAGCACAUGUGGACGCUAUCAUCAUCGUCGUCAUCGUCAUCUUUGCCUUACAGCUCCCUCAUCCGUGUAAUGAUGAGCUGAUGGCAAAAGGGGUGGAUGCAAUGACAAAGUGGCAGUAAUGGUGACAGGCAUGGUGGAAGACGGUAGAAUAUGUCAUGCGCAGGAGUUCAGGGACCAAAUUGAGUACUACAGAUAGUAGCGGAGGUUGAGAGGGGGCAGACCACAUGUGGAAUCAUGCCAUGAUAUGGUGCUGGUUUAAUAGGUCUUUUCUGGCCAGAUUGUAUAUACAUGCGUGUGCGACGAGAGAGUAAGGGUGAUGUGGGUUGCCAUGGUGGCCAAACCAGGUUAUGUGGUAGCUCUGGUGCCAUAACCAUUUCAAAAUCUUGCAUCAUGGGAUUGGGGUGAAUUGAUCCGGCUUUAGAAGUUUAGGGGUUUUGACUGAAGAAAAAGUAGUUUGGAGGAAUCAAGUAGACAAAGAUGAUGCUUCAAGGAAAUAAAAUGGGCGUUGCCCAUUAUCUCGGGCUGUGACAACUAUUUUAUAAGAUGUCCAAAUUAUCUUCCAACCAGAUAUUGCAAAACAAUGUGAUGUAAGAAAAAGCAAUCUGCAGCUGAAGGAAAAGGAAAUAAGACUGGGUACUCUAGUAUCUUUCUUUAUGAUAACAUGCACACGUUUUCUUUUAUUGGAAAAACUUGGAAGCGCCUAAGUGUAUAAGUGUUUCCUUUCUUGUUCAUUUUUCUUUUUGUUGUUGCAGGAGAUUGGUUUCCAAUGUGACAAUAAUCAGGGGGAGUGCCGGGCUAAGUUUUCUUGCCAUCUUGACUGUUUUGCUUGGGUGAAGCGAGACAGUUACCUUCCACAAGGAAGCCAAGGUCUAAAGGUGACACAUCACUUACUGGAAUAAAAAUACUUUUAAACAACCUUAACAGUUUGGCUCUAAUCAUUUCAUGUGCUUGGUUUCAGUAAUAGGUGUCUUACUGAAAUCACAUCUUGAAAAUAGUAGAAACUUUUAGUGAUAUAGAGUGUGCAAUAUUUGAAUAAACAAUUAAUAUGCCUAAUUUUAGCAUUUGCCACUCACUAGCACUAGAAGGUUAGUCAUCUGACUUUAACUGAUUGCUAGACUUCCUUGGUUUAACUGAAUAAGUAAAGAAAAUUGGCCCUUUCUCUUCGUCUCAGAUCAAUGGAUCUUCUCGAUUGGAAGAUCUCCCAUAUGGAUAAUACACAUUCCAGUUGACCGAGCCUAAUGCUAAUUGUUUUGUUCUGAAGCAAAGAUAUCCGCGGAGGCCGGUUCCUUCGUCCUAUUCUGAUAUUCUUGAUCCUGGAUUCUCUUUCGGAUAGGCCCUGAAAGGAGAAGAGAAGCUGAAAUGCCAACGGACCUCUGUCUAUUCUCUAAUUCACCCGAUCCGAUAGUACCCGUUGAUUCCUACCACUUAAAUCUUAAUUUAUUGUAUCUUCCUGGAGUUCCCUCUCCGGGGAUUCAUUUUUAAUUAUUCCCUCAAAGUAUCCCAAUGCAGUAAAAGAAUCGAAUCCUAGAAUUCCUAUUCGAGAUAUUUUUGGUCUCUUAGGCGCUAUUGUACCUAGUAUAUCAAAUUUUUCUUCAUCUUACUAUUUAUUAACACAUAUCAGAUCUUGUUAAAAAAUACUUGUUCCUUGAAAAUUUGAAACAAACCUUCCAAGUACUUCAAGGACUUAAAUACUCUUUAAUAGUUCUUAACCCCUUCCUUUUUUUGCCCAUCGGAAUUAUUUCCCAAGGACUUGCCAUGGUAAGGGGAGAAGGGGGAAGAAGCACACUUGAAGAGCGCAGUACAACGGGGAGUUGUAUGCUGCGUUCGGGAAGGAUGAAUCGCUCCCGAAAAGGAGUCUAUUGAUUCUCUCCCAAUUGGUUGGAUCGUAGGGCGAUGAUUUACUUCACGGGCGAGGUCUCUGGUUCAAGUCCAGGAUGGCCCAGCUGCGCCAGGGAAAAGAAUAGAAGAAGCAUCUGACUCUUUCAUGCAUACUCCACUUGGCUCG
rnacentral:lncRNA from 1 species